UUCAGAUAAUAGAUAGUAAAAGCACAAAUUACUUUCUCACAAUUGAAACUGUGCAAGCACAUUGCUAUUUUAGUAAUCAGAGUCGACUUUGUAGAACCAUGCCAAAAAAGAUAGGAAGUAUAUGCAAAGUGGUGGUGAAUCAAGCCCUUUCCUGGAGUAAGGAUGGUCAGAAUAUAACAAGGAAGCUGAUAAAAUAUGAAUGUCCUUCCUGUUAGAAAAGAAAAAUUGCAGCGGAGGGAAUUAAAUAACUACUGUGAGCCAAUUCUAUUAU